rnacentral:rRNA from 1 species
CCGCAAGGUUGAAACUCAAAGGAAUUGACGGGGGCCCGCACAAGCAGUGGAUUAUGUGGUUUAAUUCGACGCAACGCGAAGAACCUUACCAGGACUUGACAUCCUACUAACGAAGCAGAGAUGCAUUAGGUGCCCUUCGGGGAAAGUAGAGACAGGUGGUGCAUGGUUGUCGUCAGCUCGUGUCGUGAGAUGUUGGGUUAAGUCCCGCAACGAGCGCAACCCCUAUUGUUAGUUGCUACGCAAGAGCACUCUAGCGAGACUGCCGUUGACAAAACGGAGGAAGGCGGGGACGACGUCAAAUCAUCAUGCCCCUUAUGUCCUGGGCUACACACGUAAUACAAUGGCGAUCAACAGAGGGAGGCAAAGCCGCGAGGUGGAGCAAAUCCCUAAAAGUCGUCUCAGUUCGGAUUGCAGGCUGCAACUCGCCUGCAUGAAGCUGGAAUUGCUAGUAAUCG